rnacentral:lncRNA from 1 species
GGUCGGGGUCGGGGUCGUCAAAAGAGGAUCCUGAUUCUGGAUCGGGUUCGGGGUCAAAGUCUGCAUCUGUAGGAGCGGAGCCAUCUGGGCACUCAACUCAACGAUGGUUGGUGGAGAAUGAGAGAAUGAGUCGGUGGUGCUACCUCCAUGAGGGUUGAAAAAAUCAUCAACCCCCAUAACACUAAAUAAAAUAAUCUCUAUUACAAUAGGACAAAAUAUAAUUGGUAAGUAACCAAAAUUCUAAUGAAAUAAGGACUCGCCAACACUCCCCCUCAAGUUGGGCAAAGAUAUUUCGCAGGCCCAACUUGACAAGCGAGUCACAGGACACCAUACUUGAGAAGCACCAAUUGUAGAGAAGAUCUUUUAGUCAACCACGAGUGAAACAAGUGACAAACUAAAACAAAGUUCACAGCGGAAACACAAGAGCAAACCCUAAAAAAUAGGGCACAUAGCAAAACACAGAAACCCUGUGAGCACGGCUGUAGAUAAGGCAGAACACAGAAACCCUGUGAGCAGACAGUAGGUAAGGCAGAACACAGAAACUGUGUGAGCACAGCAAUUGGUAAGGCAGAACACAGAAACCCUGUGAGCACGGCAAUAGGUAAGGCAGAACACCGAAACCCCAUGAGCACGGCAGUAGAGACAAUGGCAACAAUAAAUUCUUCCAUAUAAACUUUAGC